UACGUAGGGGUCGAGCGUUGUCCGGACUUACUGGGCGUAAAGCGCGUGUAGGCGGUCCGGUAAGUCCGCUGUGAAAGUCGGGGGCUCAACCCUCGGAUGCCGGUGGAUACUGUCGGGCUUGAGUACGGAAGAGGCGAGUGGAAUUCCUGGUGUAGCGGUGAAAUGCGCAGAUAUCAGGAGGAACACCAAUUGCGAAGGCAGCUCGCUGGGACGUUACUGACGCUGAGACGCGAAAGCGUGGGGAGCAAACAGG
rnacentral:rRNA from 1 species